AUCGAGCACGCGUAUACGCCGGCUCCGAGCGCGCCGUCCGCACCCAGCUGACGACUGCCCGCUACGUUUGCUGGCC
rnacentral:sRNA from 2 species